UACGUAGGGUGCAAGCGUUAUCCGGAUUCACUGGGUUUAAAGGGUGCGUAGGCGGGCAGGUAAGUCCGUGGUGAAAUCUCUGAGCUUAACUCAGAAACUGCCAUGGAUACUAUUUGUCUUGAAUAUUGUGGAGGUAAGCGGAAUAUGUCAUGUAGCGGUGAAAUGCUUAGAUAUGACAUAGAACACCAAUUGCGAAGGCAGCUUACUACACAAUAAUUGACACUGAGGCACGAAAGCGUGGGGAUCAAACAGG
rnacentral:rRNA from 1 species